CACGUAGGGUGCAAGCGUUGUCCGGAAUUAUUGGGCGUAAAGGGCUCGUAGGCGGUCCGUCACGUCGGGAGUGAAAACUCGGGGCUCAACCUCGGGUCUGCAGUCGAUACGGGCAAACUGGAGUGUUGCAGGGGAGACUGGAAUUCCUGGUGUAGCGGUGAAAUGCGCAGAUAUCAGGAGGAACACCGGUGGCGAAGGCGGGUCUCUGGGCAACAACUGACGCUGAGGAGCGAAAGCGUGGGGAGCGAACAGG
rnacentral:rRNA from 1 species